GCCCUAGGACAGAUUAAGAGCUACGCUAUAACGGGCAUAGGUUGAGCUAUUCUGAGGACGUGGGAUAAUUAUCAAAUGACAUCUGAUAUGGUGGUUUAUGUGAAUACCCGGUGGCUUAUUACAGAGAGUUAUAGAAAAGUAAGCAACCAUUAAUCUGAUCUGUAUUCAAUCUGUCAUAAAUAAAUUUGGAUUUAAGCUAGAUGAAUUUGAGUUAUUAAUAGAUCAAUCCAUUUAAUCUGUUUAAUAUUUAGA
rnacentral:lncRNA from 1 species